GGGCCUGUUUGAAAGGACACCCUGGUAAUUGGAUUUGGUGUAAUUGGUGUAAUUACACUGUCUUGUCCUGUUUGGAAGGACAGGUAAUUACUUGGUCAGCAGGUAAUUGGUGUAAUUGGCAAGGGGUAAUUACACUCUACAAUUCACAGGCAGAGGCUGUGAAUUGCUGGUAAUUACAUGGUGUAAUUACCACCUGAUUACUUUUUAAUUUCUUUUUUUUAUUUCUAUUUUAAUUUUUUUUUACUUCUAUUAUUUUAAGUUCUUUUUUUAACUUUAUUAUUCUAAAAAUUUGUAAAAGUUUAUUUUUUAUUUUUUAUUAUUAGAUUUCAUUUUCUUCUUAUUCUCAACCUUACUUUAC
rnacentral:lncRNA from 1 species